GCUAAUAUGUUUGAAUCUCCAGGGUCCUACCCUAACUGUCAUAGUUAGCAGUAUAAAAGGAGAUUCUUGUCAGAAACUCUUUGCUCUUCGAUCUUCACUCGUCUUAGCUAUUUGGUCUUAGGUCUUAACUCUUCUAGGAUCAUCCGUUAAACAACUGUUACUCGAUCAAAACUUUUAAGAUUAGAGCACGGGAAGAAGGAAACAAGUUAAAUCAAUUCACAUUUGUAUCACCUUUUGUCGGAGAAUAUACUAACAUGAAUGGACCAGUACAAAGUGGCUUCGAUGAGUCCUUUUUCCGAGGGGUGAUUUGACUUCAAUCCAAUCAAACUGAAUCAUCCUAUUGAAACUCCGCACAACCUCAGCAUAAAGGAAGUCUAGCCGGGAUGUCCUUCAGCCAAGUACUUAAUUUUGCAAAAAUCUAUCUGUAAUUAAAGAAUCUGCUAGUACGAACUGUUA